rnacentral:rRNA from 1 species
UACGUAGGGUGCGAGCGUUAAUCGGAAUUACUGGGCGUAAAGCGUGCGCAGGCGGUUUUGUAAGUCAGAUGUGAAAUCCCCGGGCUUAACCUGGGAAUUGCGUUGGAGACUGCAAGGCUUGAAUCUGGCAGAGGGGGGUAGAAUUCCACGUGUAGCAGUGAAAUGCGUAGAGAUGUGGAGGAACACCGAUGGCGAAGGCAGCCCCCUGGGUCAAGAUUGACGCUCAUGCACGAAAGCGUGGGGAGCAAACAGG